rnacentral:rRNA from 1 species
CAAUAGCGUAUAUUUAAGUUGUUGCAGUUAAAAAGCUCGUAGCUGGAUUUCGGGUGUGAACGACCGGUCCGUCUUUGAUGUGUACUGGUUGGUUGCGCCUUAUUGUCGAGGACGUGGUUCUAGCUUUCAUUAGCCGGGACACGGAGUCGGCAGCGUUACUUUGAGAAAAUUAGAGUGUUCAAAGCAGGCUAUCGCUCUGAAUACUGCAGCAUGGAAUAACACGAUAGGACUCCGAGCCUAUUCUGUUGGUCUUCGGGACCGGAGUAAUGAUUAAGAGGGACAGUUGGGGGCAUUCGUAUUCCGAUGUCAGAGGUGAAAUUCUUGGAUUAUCGGAAGACGAACAUCUGCGAAAGCAUUUGCCAAGGAUGUUUUCAUUAA